AAACACUUUUCUUAACCCUCCUGCCAUAUUGGCAACCACUUCUAGAAACUCUCUUGAAAUGUUUUUGAAGGUGAUUUACGUAAGCAACUUAAGUCCAAGGAGCAUGAGGCAUUAAAAUUUGGUAUUUACAUUUACAAAAUAUAUGUUCCUCAUUAGGACUUAUAUGGCAUGAAUAUUAAGAAUUUUUGAGUAAUUAAAG
rnacentral:lncRNA from 1 species